UAUAGCCAAUAUAUGGCGUGUAGCUGCUCAAUUGGCCGGUAAUGGGGUGGGCGCAUACUUAAUUGCCACAAAUAGCGCACAAGGUUUUGGUUUCAAGCCAAGACAACUCAUAGCAACAACCGUUGAGUGAGUCAUAUAGACACAAGUUUCAAAACUAAACGAGGAAUGCAAUAAUUGUGUGGAUCUCAUGAUAUAAUAUCGCCCACCGUAUCCCAACCAAGGUUUUUUGGUAUCUCGACCACACCUACUAUUUGCAGCGAUAGUCACUGCAAAUAGUGUGAGCUCCCUGUCUGAAAUGGCAAAUCUGACAAAAAAAUAAGCGGGCCCCUUGUCAGUAAUCACUGCAAAUAGUUGGAUAUGGACAAAAACACCACUAUUUGCAGCGAUAAUCGCUGCAAAGAUUAAAACCACAUUUCUUAUUUUUCCUAAUUGCAUGCAGUGGGCCAUAUGUAGAUUCAGCAAGCAGUGAGUAGCAAAGGAUUUCGAACGAAUUCCUGAAGACGUGUCGGAAAAUAUGAAAAAUAAAAAUGGUGUUUUAACACAUACGUAUUGGCAUGUAUGUAACGGGACACUCAUCAUGGAAAAAAUAACAUGUAUCAAUAAAUAUGAGAAACUUAACGGAGCUGUUGUGCAGGGCGAAAUUUUUGUUGGGAGAAAAUUUAGGCCGGCCUAAAAGACUAGUUUGAGCUCAAAAUGGUUCAAAACCGAGGGUGGCAGGGUGAUUUAAGAAUGGUUAUCACGAUUCACAAUGACCGAAACAAGCAAAAGCAAUGAGUCAAUUCUAUAUUGGGACGCGGAAUGAAGGGGAAACAUCUAUAAAUCGUAGUUAAAACUAGUAGUAAUUAUUGCUGUAUUACACAUCUAACGGAACUCAUAUUUUUAAAGACUCAACCACCAAGAAAGAGUGAGAGCUUUCAUUA